rnacentral:rRNA from 1 species
UGGGGAAUAUUGCACAAUGGGCGCAAGCCUGAUGCAGCCAUGCCGCGUGUAUGAAGAAGGCCUUCGGGUUGUAAAGUACUUUCAGUCGGGAGGAAGGUGGUAAGGUUAAUAACCUCAUCGAUUGACGUUACCCGCAGAAGAAGCACCGGCUAACUCCGUGCCAGCAGCCGCGGUAAUACGGAGGGUGCAAGCGUUAAUCGGAAUUACUGGGCGUAAAGCGCACGCAGGCGGUCUGUCAAGUCGGAUGUGAAAUCCCCGGGCUCAACCUGGGAACUGCAUUCGAAACUGGCAGGCUAGAGUCUUGUAGAGGGGGGUAGAAUUCCAGGUGUAGCGAUGAAAUGCGUAGAGAUCUGGAGGAAUACCGGUGGCGAAGGCGGCCCCCUGGACAAAGACUGACGCUCAGGUGCGAAAGCGUGGGGAGCAAACAGG